rnacentral:rRNA from 1 species
AGAGUUUGAUCCUGGCUCAGGACGAACGCUGGCGGCACGCUUAACACAUGCAAGUCGAACGAGAGAAGAGGAGCUUGCUUUUCUGAUCUAGUGGCGGACGGGAGAGUAACACGUGAGCAAUCUGCCUUUCAGAGGGGGAUACCGAUUGGAAACGAUCGUUAAUACCGCAUAACAUAAUUGAACCGCAUGAUUUGAUUAUCAAAGAUUUAUCGCUGAAAGAUGAGCUCGCGUCUGAUUAGCUAGUUGGUAAGGUAACGGCUUACCAAGGCGACGAUCAGUAGCCGGACUGAGAGGUUGAUCGGCCACAUUGGUACUGAGACACGGCCCAGACUCCUACGGGAGGCAGCAGUGGGGAAUAUUGCACAAUGGAGGAAACUCUGAUGCAGCGAUGCCGCGUGAGGGAAGAAGGUUUUAGGAUUGUAAACCUCUGUCUUCAGGGACGAAAAAAGACGGUACCUGAGGAGGAAGCUCCGGCUAACUACGUGCCAGCAGCCGCGGUAAUACGUAGGGAGCGAGCGUUGUCCGGAAUUACUGGGUGUAAAGGGAGCGUAGGCGGGAUCGCAAGUCAGAUGUGAAAACUAUGGGCUUAACCCAUAAACUGCAUUUGAAACUGUGGUUCUUGAGUGAAGUAGAGGUAAGCGGAAUUCCUAGUGUAGCGGUGAAAUGCGUAGAUAUUAGGAGGAACAUCAGUGGCGAAGGCGGCUUACUGGGCUUUAACUGACGCUGAGGCUCGAAAGCGUGGGGAGCAAACAGGAUUAGAUACCCUGGUAGUCCACGCCGUAAACGAUGAUUACUAGGUGUGGGGGGACUGACCCCUUCCGUGCCGCAGCAAACGCAAUAAGUAAUCCACCUGGGGAGUACGACCGCAAGGUUGAAACUCAAAGGAAUUGACGGGGGCCCGCACAAGCAGUGGAGUAUGUGGAUUAAUUCGAAACAACGCGAAGAACCUUACCAGGUCUUGACAUCGUAUGCAUAGCUCAGAGAUGAGUGAAAUCUCUUCGGAGACAUAUAGACAGGUGGUGCAUGGUUGUCGUCAGCUCGUGUCGUGAGAUGUUGGGUUAAGUCCCGCAACGAGCGCAACCCUUACUGUUAGUUGCUACGCAAGAGCACUCUAGCAGGACUGCCGUUGACAAAACGGAGGAAGGUGGGGAUGACGUCAAAUCAUCAUGCCCCUUAUGACCUGGGCCUCACACGUACUACAAUGGCUGUCAACAGAGGGAAGCAAAGCCGCGAGGUGGAGCGAACCCCUAAAAGCAGUCUUAGUUCGGAUUGUAGGCUGCAACCCGCCUACAUGAAGUCGGAAUUGCUAGUAAUCGCAGAUCAGCAUGCUGCGGUGAAUACGUUCCCGGGCCUUGUACACACCGCCCGUCACGCCAUGGGAGUCGGUAACACCCGAAGCCUGUAGUCUAACCGCAAGGAGGACGCAGUCGAAGGUGGGAUUGAUGUCUGGGGUGAAGUCGUAACAAGGUA